AAGUCGUAACAAGGUUUCCGUAGGUGAACCUGCGGAAGGAUCAUUAACACGUAUCCAACGUUAAACAACCCGUGAACCUUCAUGUUUCGUGUCUUACUUUUUAACUUCGAGGGCGUCUGGUAACUCACGUGAACAGAUUGACUCAGACAUUCUUGAAGAAAAAGGGUAAGAUGCUUGUGCAUUAGGUGAGGGCGUCUAACGCUUGUGAGUGGGCAACUAGAUUCCUGUUGGUCUUGGAAAUCGGUGCAGCCACACGCUUCAUCGGACCUCAUCUCAGGGAUAAUCCCCCCUUUCGAUUCACCACCCCCUCCUACGCAAACGCUCGCCGGCAUGGUCCCGCUUGAGCAUUCAAAAAACCGAACAACUGUUAACAAUGGAUAUCUUGGUUCUC
rnacentral:misc_RNA from 1 species